AUGCCAGCUGAUCCAGCCGAGGCUCGAGUCAGCAUCCUUGCUUAUUGGAUGCCUGAUUGCAGUUCAACUCCAAACUCAGUUGGACCAGCUGAUCAGUGUCUUCAGAAUUACCACAAGCUUCUGGGCAGAUGUGUGGACAGCUAUGAGCCAAACUUGGGACGUUUGGCUUUUAGCAGGUGGAGAGACCGUCUGGGCAGCAGAAACAAGACAACUAAUCAUAGUCCUCCUGAUCAUUCUGUUCUCCUGGUUGUGAGGAUGUGCAGAGGCUGUAUUUGUCAGUGUUAAAAGACUUGUGCAGCUGUAUGCAGACAUACAAGCAGCUGACAAAGAGUUCUGGAGCAGGACAGACAGGGCAGCACGGUGGCGCAGAGGGUAGCACGUUGCCUCACAGCAAGAAGGU